ACUUAAGAGACAUUUCUUUAGUGUGCAAAAGGGAUGAAGAAAAUUUAUUGAUCUACUAUAUGUUAAAAAUAUUUUAUUGUUUUUCAUAUUGCAUAAGCUUUACACACUAUAAAAUGAACAAAGCAUAUUCUAUUUGGUAUAUACAAAAAGAAAAAAAUAUGGCUAAAACUCUCAAAUUGGUUUAUACUAUGGUUUUAUUUAUUUCUCUAUUCCUUCUUUCAAAGGAGGCUUGCGCGGUUGUUAGAUGUGAAAAGGAUGAAGAUUGUCCAAUUUCUGGCUUUGAACCUUUAGUUUUUAAGUGCAUUAACAACUUAUGUGAAGCAGUUAAAAAGGAUCCAAAAAAGCCUAUAGUUUUUACCUAGUUAUGAUUUUGUAUUUUAAAAUGUUACUAAUAA